UACGAAGGGGACUAGCGUUGUUCGGAAUCACUGGGCGUAAAGCGCACGUAGGCGGAUGUGUCAGUCAGGGUGAAAUCCCGGGCUCAACCUCGGAACUGCCUUUGAUACAGCACGUCUCGAGUCCGGAAGAGGUGGGUGGAAUUCCUAGUGUAGAGGUGAAAUUCGUAGAUAUUAGGAAGAACACCAGUGGCGAAGGCGGCUCACUGGCCCGGUACUGACGCUGAGGUGCGAAAGCGUGGGAGCAAACAGG
rnacentral:rRNA from 1 species